GACGAACGCUGGCGGCGUGCUUAACACAUGCAAGUCGAACGGAAAGGCCCUGCUUUUGUGGGGUGCUCGAGUGGCGAACGGGUGAGUAACACGUGAGUAACCUUCCCUUGACUUUGGGAUAACUUCAGGAAACUGGUGCUAAUACCGGAUAGGAGCGCCUGCUGCAUGGUGGGGGUUGGAAAGUUUCGGCGGUUGGGGAUGGACUCGCGGCUUAUCAGCUUGUUGGUGGGGUAGUGGCUUACCAAGGCUUUUACGGGUAGCCGGCCUGAGAGGGUGACCGGCCACAUUGGGACUGAGAUACGGCCCAGACUCCUACGGGAGGCAGCAGUGGGGAAUAUUGUACAAUGGGCGGAAGCCUGAUGCAGCAACGCCGCGUGCGGGAUGACGGCCUUCGGGUUGUAAACCGCUUUCGCCUGUGACGAAGCGUGAGUGACGGUAAUGGGUAAAGAAGCACCGGCUAACUACGUG
rnacentral:rRNA from 1 species